rnacentral:rRNA from 1 species
CGCGAACGGCUCAUUACAAUGGCCAUGAUUUACUUGAUCUUGAUCAAUCCUAAAUGGAUAACUGUGGAAAAUCUAGAGCUAAUACAUGCCCUAAAGCUAUGUCCUUUGGAAUAGUACAUUUAUUAGAACAAAACCAAGCGGCUUCGGCUGCUUUUUGGUGAUUCAGAAUAACUAAGCUGACCGCAUGGCCUUGUGCCGGCGGCGUGUCUUUCAAGUGUCCACUUUAUCAACUUGACGGGAGCAUAAUCGACUCCCGUGGUGGUGACGGAUAACGGAGGAUCAGGGUUCGACUCCGGAGAAGGGGCCUGAGAAAUGGCCACUACGUCUAAGGAUGGCAGCAGGCGCGCAAAUUACCCACUCUCGGCUCGAGGAGGUAGUGACGAGAAAUAACGAGAYYGUUCUCUUAUGAGGCCKGUCAUCGGAAUGGGUACAAUUUAAACCCUUUAACGAGUAYCAAGCAGAGGGCAAGUCUGGUGCCAGCAGCCGCGGUAAUUCCAGCUCUGCCAAUGCAUAGACUUAUUGCUGCGGUUAAAAAGCUCGUAGUUGGAUCUGUUUCGAUAUCCUGGAACCCUUUCGAGGUGUUUCUAGGUUUUAUCGAUUUUUCGUAAUGUUUCGGACUUGAAUUCUUACAAGAGUUCAUUUCUAGACAUUGCAGGUUUACUUUGAACAAAUCAGAGUGCUUCAAACAGGCGUUUUCGCUUGAAUGAUCGUGCAUGGAAUAAUAGAAAACGAUUUCGGUUCAGUUUUAUUGGUUUUACGGACUGAGAUAAUGGUUAACAGAGACAAACGGGGGCAUUUGUAUGGCCCCGUGAGAGGUGAAAUUCUUGGACCGUGGCCAGACAAACUACAGCGAAAGCAUUUGCCAAGAAUGUCUUCAUUAAUCAAGAACGAAAGUCAGAGGUUCGAAGGCGAUCAGAUACCGCCCUAGUUCUGACCGUAAACGAUGCCAACUAGCGAUCCGCCGAUGGAGAUUAUAUUGCCUUGGUGGGGAGCUUCCCGGAAACGAAAGUCUUCCGGUUCCGGGGGAAGUAUGGUUGCAAAGCUGAAACUUAAAGGAAUUGACGGAAGGGCACCACCAGGAGUGGAGCCUGCGGCUUAAUUUGACUCAACACGGGGAAACUCACCCGGCCCGGACACUGUGAGGAUUGACAGAUUGAUAGCUUUUUCAUGAUUCAGUGGAUGGUGGUGCAUGGCCGUUCUUAGUUCGUGGAGUGAUUUGUCUGGUUUAUUCCGAUAACGAGCGAGACUCUAACCUACUAAAUAGCUGAUACAUAUUUUUUGUGUAUUCGGCUUCUUAGAGGGAUUUGCGGUGUUCAGCCGAAAGAAAUUGAGCAAUAACAGGUCUGUGAUGCCCUUAGAUGUCCGGGGCUGCACGCGCGCUACACUGGCAAAAUCAACGUGCUUGUCCUGCCCCGAAAGGGGUGGGUAAACCAUUGAAAAUUUGCCGUGAUUGGGAUCGGAAAUUGCAAUUAUUUUCCGUGAACGAGGAAUUCCAAGUAAGUGCGAGUCAUCAGCUCGCGUUGAUUACGU